rnacentral:misc_RNA from 1 species
GAUGAAGAACGCAGCGAAAUGCGAUAAGUAAUGUGAAUUGCAGAAUUCAGUGAAUCAUCGAAUCUUUGAACGCACAUUGCGCCCGCCAGUAUUCUGGCGGGCAUGCCUGUUCGAGCGUCAUUUCAACCAUCAAGCCCCCGGCUUGUGUUGGGGACCUGCGGCUGCCGCAGGCCCUGAAAACCAGUGGCGGGCUCGCUGACACACCGAGCGUAGUAGAUUUUCAUCUCGCUCAGGGCGUGCUGCGGGUUCCGGCCGUAAAAAGCCUUAUUUACCCAAGGUUGACCUCGGAUCAGGUAGGAAGACCCGCUGAACUUAAGCAUAUCAAUAAGCGGAGGA